AGAGUUUGAUCAUGGCUCAGAUUGAACGCUGGCGGCAGGCCUAACACAUGCAAGUCGAGCGGUAGCACAGAGAGCUUGCUCUCGGGUGACGAGCGGCGGACGGGUGAGUAAUGUCUGGGAAACUGCCUGAUGGAGGGGGAUAACUACUGGAAACGGUAGCUAAUACCGCAUAACGUCGCAAGACCAAAGUGGGGGACCUUCGGGCCUCAUGCCAUCAGAUGUGCCCAGAUGGGAUUAGCUAGUAGGUGGGGUAACGGCUCACCUAGGCGACGAUCCCUAGCUGGUCUGAGAGGAUGACCAGCCACACUGGAACUGAGACACGGUCCAGACUCCUACGGGAGGCAGCAGUGGGGAAUAUUGCACAAUGGGCGCAAGCCUGAUGCAGCCAUGCCGCGUGUGUGAAGAAGGCCUUCGGGUUGUAAAGCACUUUCAGCGGGGAGGAAGGCGGUGAGGUUAAUAACCUCAUCGAUUGACGUUACCCGCAGAAGAAGCACCGGCUAACUCCGUGCCAGCAGCCGCGGUAAUACGGAGGGUGCAAGCGUUAAUCGGAAUUACUGGGCGUAAAGCGCACGCAGGCGGUCUGUCAAGUCGGAUGUGAAAUCCCCGGGCUCAACCUGGGAACUGCAUUCGAAACUGGCAGGCUAGAGUCUUGUAGAGGGGGGUAGAAUUCCAGGUGUAGCGGUGAAAUGCGUAGAGAUCUGGAGGAAUACCGGUGGCGAAGGCGGCCCCCUGGACAAAGACUGACGCUCAGGUGCGAAAGCGUGGGGAGCAAACAGGAUUAGAUACCCUGGUAGUCCACGCUGUAAACGAUGUCGAUUUGGAGGUUGUGCCCUUGAGGCGUGGCUUCCGGAGCUAACGCGUUAAAUCGACCGCCUGGGGAGUACGGCCGCAAGGUUAAAACUCAAAUGAAUUGACGGGGGCCCGCACAAGCGGUGGAGCAUGUGGUUUAAUUCGAUGCAACGCGAAGAACCUUACCUGGUCUUGACAUCCACAGAACUUUCCAGAGAUGGAUUGGUGCCUUCGGGAACUGUGAGACAGGUGCUGCAUGGCUGUCGUCAGCUCGUGUUGUGAAAUGUUGGGUUAAGUCCCGCAACGAGCGCAACCCUUAUCCUUUGUUGCCAGCGGUUAGGCCGGGAACUCAAAGGAGACUGCCAGUGAUAAACUGGAGGAAGGUGGGGAUGACGUCAAGUCAUCAUGGCCCUUACGGCCAGGGCUACACACGUGCUACAAUGGCAUAUACAAAGAGAAGCGACCUCGCGAGAGCAAGCGGACCUCAUAAAGUAUGUCGUAGUCCGGAUUGGAGUCUGCAACUCGACUCCAUGAAGUCGGAAUCGCUAGUAAUCGUAGAUCAGAAUGCUACGGUGAAUACGUUCCCGGGCCUUGUACACACCGCCCGUCACACCAUGGGAGUGGGUUGCAAAAGAAGUAGGUAGCUUAACCUUCGGGAGGGCGCUUACCACUUUGUGAUUCAUGACUGGGGUGAAGUCGUAACAAGGUAACCGUAGGGGAACCUGCGGUUGGAUCACCU
rnacentral:rRNA from 2 species